rnacentral:rRNA from 1 species
GACGAACGCUGGCGGCGUGCUUAACACAUGCAAGUCGAGCGGUAAGGCUCCUUCGGGGGUACACGAGCGGCGAACGGGUGAGUAACACGUGAGUAAUCUGCCCUUCACUUCGGGAUAGCUUCGGGAAACCGAAAUUAAUACCGGAUACGACUACCGAUUGCAUGAUCUGGUGGUGGAAAGUUUUUUCGGUGGGGGAUGUGCUCGCGGCCUAUCAGCUUGUUGGUGGGGUAAUGGCCUACCAAGCCGACGAUCCAUAGCUGGUUUGAGAGGAUGAUCAGCCACACUGGGACUGAGACACGGCCCAGACUCCUACGGGAGGCAGCAGUGGGGAAUAUUGGACAAUGGGGGAAACCCUGAUCCAGCAACGCCGCGUGAGGGAUGACGGCCUUCGGGUUGUAAACCUCUUUCAGCUCCGACGAAGUCACUCGUUGAGGGUGGUGACGGUAGGUGCAGAAGAAGGACCGGCCAACUACGUGCCAGCAGCCGCCGUAA